ACGCUAGCUACAGGCUUAACACAUGCAAGUCGAGGGGAAACGGCAUUAAGUGCUUGCACUUUUUGGACGUCGACCGGCGCACGGGUGAGUAACGCGUAUCCAACCUUCCCAUGACUAAGGGAUAACCUGCCGAAAGGCAGACUAAUACCUUAUGGUCUUCACUGACGGCAUCAGAUGUGAAGUAAAGAUUUAUCGGUUAUGGAUGGGGAUGCGUCUGAUUAGUUAGUUGGCGGGGUAACGGCCCACCAAGGCAACGAUCAGUAGGGGUUCUGAGAGGAAGGUCCCCCACAUUGGAACUGAGACACGGUCCAAACUCCUACGGGAGGCAGCAGUGAGGAAUAUUGGUCAAUGGGCGAGAGCCUGAACCAGCCAAGUAGCGUGCAGGACGACGGCCCUAUGGGUUGUAAACUGCUUUUGUAUGGGGAUAAAGUCAAUCACGUGUGAUUGUUUGCAGGUACCAUACGAAUAAGGACCGGCUAAUUCCGUGCCAGCAGCCGCGGUAAUACGGAAGGUCCGGGCGUUAUCCGGAUUUAUUGGGUUUAAAGGGAGCGUAGGCUGGAGAUUAAGUGUGUUGUGAAAUGUAGACGCUCAACGUCUGACUUGCAGCGCAUACUGGUUUCCUUGAGUACGCACAACGUUGGCGGAAUUCGUCGUGUAGCGGUGAAAUGCUUAGAUAUGACGAAGAACUCCGAUUGCGAAGGCAGCUGACGGGAGCGCAACUGACGCUGAAGCUCGAAGGUGCGGGUAUCGAACAGGAUUAGAUACCCUGGUAGUCCGCACAGUAAACGAUGGAUGCCCGCUGUUGGUACCUGGUAUCAGCGGCUAAGCGAAAGCAUUAAGCAUCCCACCUGGGGAGUACGCCGGCAACGGUGAAACUCAAAGGAAUUGACGGGGGCCCGCACAAGCGGAGGAACAUGUGG
rnacentral:rRNA from 1 species